rnacentral:rRNA from 1 species
CUUAACACAUGCAAGUCGAACGGAAAUAAAGGAGCUUGCUCCUUUAAAUUAGUGGCGAACGGGUGAGUAACACGUGGGCAACCUGCCCCUGACUCUGGGAUAACUACUCGAAAGAGUAGCUAAUACCGGAUAUGAAACCCGAAGACAUCUUCGGGUUUGGAAAGUUUUUGGUCAGGGAUGGGCCCGCGGCCUAUCAGCUAGUUGGUGAGGUAGUGGCUCACCAAGGCGACGACGGGUAGCCGGCCUGAGAGGGCGACCGGCCACACUGGGACUGAGACACGGCCCAGACUCC